rnacentral:rRNA from 1 species
CCUACGGGUGGCAGCAGUAGGGAAUCUUUCACAAUGGGCGAAAGCCUGAUGGAGCAACGCCGCGUGCAGGAUGGAGGCCUUCGGGUUGUAAACUGCUUUUAUAAGCGAGAAAUAUGAUGGUAACUUAUGAAUAAGGAUCGGCUAACUACGUGCCAGCAGCCGCGGUCAUACGUAGGAUCCGAGCAUUAUCCGGAGUGACUGGGUGUAAAGAGUUGCGUAGGUGGCAUAAUAAGUAGCUAGAGAAAUCUGGUGGCUCAACCAUUCAGACUAUUAGCUAAACUGUUAAGCUCGAGACCGUUAGGGGUAACUGGAAUUUCUAGUGUAGGAGUGAAAUCCGUAGAUAUUAGAAGGAACACCAAUAGCGUAGGCAGGUUGCUGGGACGGUUCUGACACUAAGGCACGAAAGCGUAGGGAGCAAACGGGAUUAGAUACCCCUGUAGUC